UGGCGCUAUUCUGGAUGAUUUUUCAACAGACUUCACCAGUGACUCGUAUGAAUUGAAAGUUGCAACUAUGAGCUUGGAAUUACUUCACAGGGGCAAUAAAGUGGAGAACUACGGUUUCUAUACCAUUGAAUACUCAUUGCUGUUUACGAUGGGUGCAUCGAUUAUGUACAACUUAAUAACGGCUGUUCAGUUCGAGGCCAUGAACAACUAUUGGUAAAAUAAAAGGAUGUGACACG